AUUGAACGCUGGCGGCAGGCCUAACACAUGCAAGUCGAGCGCGAAAGUCUUCGGAUGAGUAAAGCGGCGGACGGGUGAGUAAUGCAUGGGAAUCUGCCUGGUAGUGGGGGACAACGUUUCGAAAGAGACGCUAAUACCGCAUACGCCCUACGGGGGAAAGGGGGGGAUCUUCGGACCUCUCGCUAUCAGAUGAGCCCAUGUCAGAUUAGCUAGUUGGUAGGGUAAAGGCCUACCAAGGCGACGAUCUGUAACUGGUCUGAGAGGAUGAUCAGUCACACUGGAACUGAGACACGGUCCAGACUCCUACGGGAGGCAGCAGUGGGGGAUAUUGGACAAUGGGGGCAACCCUGAUCCAGCCAUGCCGCGUGUGUGAAGAAGGCCCUAGGGUUGUAAAGCACUUUCAGUGGGGAGAAAGGUAAUUCACCUAAUACGUGAGUUAAUUGAUGCUACCCACAGAAGAAGCACCGGCUAACUCCGUGCCAGCAGCCGCCGUAA
rnacentral:rRNA from 1 species